CCUACGGGAGGCAGCAGUGAGGAAUAUUGGUCAAUGGACGAGAGUCUGAACCAGCCAAGUAGCGUGAAGGAUGACUGCCCUAUGGGUUGUAAACUUCUUUUAUAAAGGAAUAAAACGAGGCACGUGUGCCUUUUUGCAUGUACUUUAUGAAUAAGGAUCGGCUAACUCCGUGCCAGCAGCCGCGGUAAUACGGAGGAUCCGAGCGUUAUCCGGAUUUAUUGGGGUUAAAGGGAGCGUAGAUGGGUUGGUAAGUCAGUUGUGAAAGUUUGCGGCUCAACCGGAAAAUUGCAAUUGAUACUGGCAGUCUAGAGUACAGUUGAGGUAGGCGGAAUUCGUGGUGUAGCGGUGAAAUGCUUAGAUAUCACGAAGAACCCCGAUUGCGAAGGCAGCUUACUAAACUGUGACUGACAUUGAUGCUCGAAAGUGUGGGUAUCAAACAGGAUUAGAUACCCCUGUAGUC
rnacentral:rRNA from 1 species